GAGGGUAUAGCUCAGUGGUAGAGCACAUGCUUAGCAUGCACAAGGUGCUGGGUUCAAUCCCCAGGACCUCCU
rnacentral:tRNA from 1 species